rnacentral:rRNA from 1 species
AUUGAACGCUGGCGGUAUGCUUUACACAUGCAAGUCGAACGGUAACAGGUUAAGCUGACGAGUGGCGAACGGGAGAGUAAUGCAUCGGAACGUGCCCGAUCGUGGGGGAUAACGCAGCGAAAGCUGCGCUAAUACCGCAUACGAUCUGAGGAUGAAAGCGGGGGACCGUAAGGCCUCGCGCGAUCGGAGCGGCCGAUGUCAGAUUAGGUAGUUGGUGGGGUAAAGGCUCACCAAGCCAACGAUCUGUAGCUGGUCUGAGAGGACGACCAGCCACACUGGGACGGAGACAUGGCCCAGACUCCUACGGGAGGCAGCAGUGGGGAAUUUUGGACAAUGGGCGAAAGCCUGAUCCAGCAAUGCCGCGUGCAGGAAGAAGGCCUUCGGGUUGUAAACUGCUUUUGUACGGAGCGAAAAGGUCUCCUCUAAUACAGGGGGCUCAUGACGGUACCGUAAGAAUAAGCACCGGCUAACUACGUGCCAGCAGCCGCAGUAACAC